AGUGAACGCUGGCGGUAGGCCUAACACAUGCAAGUCGAACGAGUGGUGGACGGGUGAGGAAUACAUCGGAAACUACUCUGUCGUGGGGGAUAACGUAGGGAAACUUACGCUAAUACCGCAUACGCUGGAAUGCACCGAUGUAGGAGUAGGUAAUUGGCGGGGUAAAGGCCCAACAAGGCGACGAUCCUCAGCUGGUCUGAGAGGAGGAUAAGCCACACGGGAACUGAGACACGGGCCAGACUCCUACGGUAGGCAGCAGUGGGGAAUAUUGGACAAUGGGCGAAAGCCUGAUCCAGCCAUGCCGCGUGUGUGAAGAAGGUCUUCGGAUUGUAAAGCACUUUAAGUUGGGAGGCGUUACCAACAGAAGAAGCACCGGCUAACUUCGUGCCAGCAGCCGCGGUAAUUC
rnacentral:rRNA from 1 species